AUUGUAUCUGUGAAGUUGCAGUUUACCCGCUACAGGACUGAAAGACGCCGUGGAGCUUUACUGUAGUCUGAUAUUUAAAUUCGGCAUAGCUUGUACAGGAUAGGUAGGAGCCUUUGAAACGUGAGCGCUAGCUUACGUGGAGGCGCUGGUGGGAUACUACCCUAGCUGUGUUGGCUUUCUAACCCGCACCACUUAUCGUGGUGGGAGACAGUGUCAGGCGGGCAGUUUGACUGGGGCGGUCGCCUCCUAAAAGGUAACGGAGGCGCUCAAAGGUUCCCUCAGAAUGGUUGGAAAUCAUUCAUAGAGUGUAAAGGCAUAAGGGAGCUUGACUGCGAGACCUACAAGUCGAGCAGGGUCGAAAGACGGACUUAGUGAUCCGGUGGUUCCGCAUGGAAGGGCCAUCGCUCAACGGAGAAAGGCUACCCCGGGG
rnacentral:rRNA from 1 species